CCUAACAAAGCAAUACACAAUCCUUUACGUCUCUAUCAAUGAAUACCGACUGGCUUUGAGGAACGGUUCAAAGGCAGCUUCAGGGUUGUUCCAUAACAGAUAGGAAACUGAAUAAACAAAAGAUCAUGAGGACUGGAGAUGAAAAGGCCCAAAGGCCUGUGCUAGCAGAAGACUCCGGAAGAGAUUACAUAUGCAAAUAAUUCCACAGAGCUUAGACCAAGAGAAGCCUACAAACACUGGCUCCUUUCUGGAAAGGUCAGCCUGCUGUUCAGACGAAAUGUGUGCCUCUCAGCAUCUGGGAAUACCUUGGUACCAAGAGCACCUAUUAGGAGAGGCAAGAAGAAAGGCAAAACAAAAGAUAGCUUAGCCUCCACAUUUAUUUUUUAUGACAAGAACAUAAAUUCUACUCCCCGUUUGCAAUAAUUCCACAAUGUUCUGAAGAUACAUUUACAUUAGAAAAGGGUUUAAUAAUCAUUUGAAUUACUUUAGAGAGGACAUGGCUGCGACUAAAACUGGAAAAAUACAGAGCACGACAUUC
rnacentral:lncRNA from 1 species